GCCAGUGUCAUGCUUUCCUUAUAUUUAAAAUGUAGAAUCCCUUAUGACCAUCUCCAAAGGACAAUAAACUGUUAAAAACUCCUUACCAACACAACAUGGCAAAAACAAUGACAUGCAAAGUGAUGUUUAUACAUGUGUGCCCCGGCAAGUCAAUGAUCUUUAAAACUAGCUAGAUCUUCAUUCUAGUGAUUCCCAUUAUCAAGCCGAUAAUCCAUUUACCUGUAUUCCCAACAGUUUUGGGAGAGUCCCAGAGUUUAGGCUCUCCCUGAGUCGUCAAACUUAAAAACUACAAGAUGCCUUGCCAGCCAUCCAGCCCAGAAGCUUUAAAUUGUCUUAUGUGAAUCCCUGGUAUUGUUUGCACACAAUAGAAAUAGAAGUUCCAUGAGACAACUUGAAUUUUAGUGAUAUUUUUCUUUUUAAAAUUUACUCAAUAGCAUGUGUCCAAAAUACUAUGUUUGCCAUUUGGGGUAUGAAAGAGUAUGAAAAUUGGAUUUUCCUUUUUUUGUUUUGUGUUGAAAUUUCACUAAGCCCCCUUUGCCCUAGAGAUAAUCUUAAAUGGCAACUGAGUUUUAAGAUGAAGUCCAAAACAUUAAAGUGAAAAAAAAAAUCCAAAUUAUAAUAAGUGGGUUUUAGUUACAUGUUUGGGAAAGGCAGUUUAAUCUCCUGUUUUUGGAUGGUGUUUAUAGAUUCUAUCAAUACAUUUCAAGGCAAGUAUUCCAUGAUCAAAGUAGUUUGGAAAACGCCCAUCUAGUCCAAGCCUCUCAUUUGAUAAGUGAUGAAACUGAGACCCAGGGAGAAUAGGUAGCUUAAUCAAAGCCACACAUAUCUAAUUAAGUGCAAAAUUGGGACUAGAUGUGAGAUUUCCUAACUCCUGCUCCAGUGCUUGCUGUCCUAUGCACCACACAGCUAUCAAUAUUCCAUUUCUCUAAGUCAGAUCUUUGUUGGAUUGCAGAGUGUUCCAAAAAACCUUUUGGAAAUUUCUGACUGCCUUAAUUGUUUAUGCAUAACUUAGAACUGUACGAUAUUUCUACUAAAAAUUUUUCCCAUUACAAAGCUAUUUCAGUUUCUCGGGGCAUGAGAACACAGAGCAAAAUGUGUCUAAGGUACUUAAAUUGUGCUUGUUCAUGAUUAUAUAAGACAGAAAUAGCUCUGAGAAUCUAUAUACACAUGUGUAUAUAUACACAUACAUACAAGUAUUUAGACAUAUAUAUGUAUUGCAUAUCUAAAUAUGCUUAAAUGUGUAUAUAUGGUACGUAUAUACAUAUAUAUAUUUAAAUAACCAAAUCUCAUUUUAGCCAAUAGUAUCAAUUUUCUCUUCUUCCAAACCUUUCACUAGAACUAUUGGCAGAUAAUAACAUGGACUUUUUCUCUCAUUUCCAUUUUUUCUUGCCCCACUCUCUGAUAGAAAAGGUUGAACAGUGAAAUGAACAAGAAAGAGAAAGACAGUUGAUGAAAAGGGGAAACAAAGGCAUUUCACCUGCUUUUAAUCAAAAAGCUGCCCAAUCUAUAGAAAAUAGAUUGCAUGUCAUGCUCUAUUUAAUUCAAUGCUUGUUAGAGUUACUAGUUUUGUCACUGUUAAAAGCAAAGUGACUUAAGUAUUAGAUCCUCUUCAGUGUAGUUAAUAUAGUUAGGAAUAUAACCAAUAGCAUGGAAAAAAACUACUUAAUCGUUUUCGGUCAUUACUUAAAUUUUUCGAUGAAACCAAAUAAACAAGAGAUGAUAUUGCCAACUGUAUCACUGGUGCUACAGCUAAUGCAUUCUGAUGCAUAUAUCAUUGGCUCUGUAUCACCCAGAAGAAGUAUAAAGAUACAGAUUUUUUUUCCCUAAUUGCCUGUGCUUCAGCUACUUUGAAGGUCAUGUUGUUCAGGUCCAUAUAUGUUAUAGUUGUUCGUUGAGUAAACAUCUGGAUGGGAAUAAUCAUUUCUAUCAAAUUGUUAGAAUUUUUUUGUUUUAUAAAAAAGUGAAAUUUGUUUUUAAUAUAUUCAUAUGUGUUAUGUAUGAUUUAAUGAGAAUGCCAUAAAAUUAAAUAGAACACCCAUGUGUGAUGCUUCCUGCUGAAUACAUUCUAUGAUUUCAAAUGCUCAGAAGAAUAUUAUUGGGGGUAUGGGGCUCGCUGUAUAUUUAUAUCAUUUGUUUUAUAAUUUGUCUCUACAGAUGCAAAUGAUUUUUUUUUUUUAGCUAUGACUAUGAAAUAAAAUUUUUCUUUUUAAGAA
rnacentral:lncRNA from 1 species